AGAGUUUGAUCCUGGCUCAGGACGAACGCUGGCGGCGUGCUUAACACAUGCAAGUCGAGCGGAAAGGCCACUUCGGUGGUACUCGAGCGGCGAACGGGUGAGUAACACGUGAGUAAUCUGCCCCUGGCUUUGGGAUAGCCACCGGAAACGGUGAUUAAUACCGGAUAUGACCAUUCUUCGCAUGAGGUGUGGUGGAAAGUUUUUCGGCCAGGGAUGUGCUCGCGGCCUAUCAGCUUGAUGGUGAGGUAAUGGCUCACCAUGGCUUCGACGGGUAGCCGGCCUGAGAGGGUGACCGGUCACACUGGGACUGAGACACGGCCCAGACUCCUACGGGAGGCAGCAGUGGGGAAUAUUGGACAAUGGGCGGAAGCCUGAUCCAGCAACGCCGCGUGAGGGAUGACGGCCUUCGGGUUGUAAACCUCUUUCGGUGGGGACGAAGCGCAAGUGACGGUACCCACUAAAGAAGCACCGGCCAACUACGUG
rnacentral:rRNA from 1 species